rnacentral:lncRNA from 1 species
UGGUAGUGCCAUUGAUUACAAGAAUGAUACUCUGGGUAGCACUAUAACCAUCACAUCAUGGUUCAACAGAGGGGACCCUCACAGUCUUUGGAUGGCACUGAUGGCAUGGAUGGUCCAUGUUUUUCCCCACUGCUAUCUCUUGGCUGAUACACAAAAUAAGAGCUCAACUAGACGGGGAUCACAGAGCGGUUUGUAAUAUAUAAACCCUGUUUAUGAACAUUUCAUGAUGUAUGUGAUCACCACCAGGGGGCGAAUUCCUUUCCUUUUGCAAAACUAGCAGCCAAAGUGGAGAAAGUGUUUCCACCAGAGCCAGUCAAAAGAAAAAUAGGUGAUCUGUUUUCCAGAAUCACAGAAGGUAUUAAAAGUC